rnacentral:rRNA from 1 species
CACGUAGGGCGCAAGCGUUGUCCGGAAUUAUUGGGCGUAAAGCGCUCGUAGGUGGUUUGCUGCGUCCGCUGUGAAAACCCAAGGCUUAACCUUGGGCUUGCAGUGGAUACGGGCAGACUAGAGGUAGGUAGGGGAGAAUGGAAUUCCCGGUGUAGCGGUGAAAUGCGCAGAUAUCGGGAGGAACACCGGUGGCGAAGGCGGUUCUCUGGGCCUUACCUGACACUGAGGAGCGAAAGCGUGGGGAGCAAACAGG